rnacentral:rRNA from 1 species
GCGACAACNUUGAACCUUCGGGUGANUUGUUGGGCGNCGAGCGGCGGACGGNUGAGUAAUGCCUGGGAAUAUGCCUUAACGUGGGGGAUAACUAUUGGAAACGAUAGCUAAUACCGCAUGAUGCCUACGGGCCAAAGAGGGGGACCUUCGGGCCUCUCGCGUUAAGAUUAGCCCAGGUGGGAUUAGCUAGUUGGUGAGGUAAUGGCUCACCAAGGCGACGAUCCCUAGCUGGUCUGAGAGGAUGAUCAGCCACACUGGAACUGAGACACGGUCCAGACUCCUACGGGAGGCAGCAGUGGGGAAUAUUGCACAAUGGGCGCAAGCCUGAUGCAGCCAUGCCGCGUGUAUGAAGAAGGCCUUCGGGUUGUAAAGUACUUUCAGUCGUGAGGAAGGUAGUUGCGUUAAUAGCGUAAUUAUUUGACGUUAGCGACAGAAGAAGCACCGGCUAACUCCGUGCCAGCAGCCGCGGUAAUACGGAGGGUGCGAGCGUUAAUCGGAAUUACUGGGCGUAAAGCGCAUGCAGGUGGUUCGUUAAGUCAGAUGUGAAAGCCCGGGGCUCAACCUCGGAAUUGCAUUUGAAACUGGCGGACUAGAGUGCUGUAGAGGGGGGUAGAAUUUCAGGUGUAGCGGUGAAAUGCGUAGAGAUCUGAAGGAAUACCGGUGNCGAANGCGGNCCCCUNNACAGACACUGACACUCAGAUGCGAAAGCGUGGGGAGCAAACAGGAUUAGAUACCCUG